rnacentral:rRNA from 1 species
AGCAGCCGCGGUAAUUCCAGCUCCAAUAGCGUAUAUUAAAGUUGUUGCAGUUAAAAAGCUCGUAGUUGAAUUUCGGAAUCAAGGUGCCGGUCAUGCUUUUUGUAUGUACUGACAUCAUUGAUUUCUCCCUUCUGACGAACCAUGAUGUCAUUAAUUUGGUGUCAUAGGGAAUCAGGACUGUUACUUUGAAAAAAUUAGAGUGUUUAAAGCAAGCUCACGCUUGAAUACAUUAGCAUGGAAUAAUGAAAUAGGACGUUUGAUCCUAUUUUGUUGGUUUCUAGGAUCGACGUAAUGAUUAAUAGGGAUAGUUGGGGGCAUUAGUAUUCAAUUGUCAGAGGUGAAAUUCUUGGAUUUAUUGAAGACUAACUACUGCGAAAGCAUUUGCCAAGGAUGUUUUCAUUAAUCAAGAACGAAAGUUAGGGGAUCGAAGACGAUCAGAUACCGUCGUAGUCUUAACCAUAAACUAAUGCCGACUAGGGAUCGGAUGAUGUUAAUUUUUUAAAUGACU